AUAUAGCAGCACCAGACCUGUGUCCACACAUGUACAGGGACAACCAGCCACCGGGGACCACUACUUAUCCUUACAGAAAUCAAGAAUCAAAAGCAAGCAGCUUUCUAUCAUUAUAAUGCAGUGCCUUAUACAAUCAACUUAGAAAGACAAAAGACUUAUUUGGUUCACAGGUUCCAGUCCAUGCUCAGUUCGUGGUGCUGCAGCUUUGGGCCUACAAGGAGGCAGCCUGUGGUAGGGAUGUGGGGUAGAGUGAAACCACACAGCUCAUGACCUUUGUAUCACUUUCCUGUUACUGUUACUGUGGUAAAAGACCAUGACCAGAAGUGACUUAUAGAUGAAAAGUUUAGACGGAUUAGAGUCCUCAUGGCAGGGUAGUGUGGCCACAGGUAGCUGAAGAAGGAGGCUGAGAGAUCACAUUUCAACCUUACAAAGAAGGCUGAGAGAACUGGGAGCCGGGAGAGGCUAUACACUGUGAAAGCCCGGCCCCAUAGUGACAUACUUCUUCCAAAUAGGCUCCACCCACCAAACGUUUCAUAACUUUCCAAAACAGCAUCGCUUACAGGGGGCCACAUAUUUAAACACACAACCACAUGGAGACCAUGGCCUCUUUCAAAGCUUGCAGCCUCCAAGCGACAAAGAUGAGAAAAAGGAAAGGGCACCUGAGUCUGAGCAACUUGUGCCAGCCUCCUUGCUGGUCACGUGAUUCAGCUACAGCCAGAGAGAGUCACCUCGUUUUAGGCCCCUUGAGAAUAUUGUGAAUCAUCAGAAUUCCCUUCAGAGGAAGAUGCAGAUAUGAAAAACUUGAUUCAUUCUUUCAGAGGGUUCCUGAUAGCUCCCUGAGGGUGAUAAACUAUGUCUGCCAAGAGUAAUCAUAGUCAUAGAUCUUCUGCAGUGUGACUUGUUCUCUUCCCUCAAGAAGAGAACUCCUUUCUUGCUUCCAGGCUGAAGGUCAGAAUUCCAAAAUCAAGGUGUUGCUGGGAUAUCAUACCCUCUGUUGGUGCAGAAGAGAACUUUGCCUAGUGACUGGUGGCUGGCACUCUUUGUGGCACUCUGCUCUCUGAAAAACAUGUCACGAACAGUCCUAUAAAGAAAUCCAUGUGAAAAGAAGCUAAAGCCUCUACCAUCUUAGCUGUUAAAGAAUGGAGAUUCCAAAGAAACAUUCCCCACUGUGUUCUGCAAGGAUUCCUGACUGGAUCUGUCUAUUUAGCCCAGGCUGUCCUGGAACUUGCUAAGUGCUAAGGAGAACAGACUGGUUCAAACUCACAACAGUAUGCCAAGCGGGAUUAAAGGUGUGUGCCACUAUUCCUGGCUGUAUUACCCUUAAAAAAACAAAACAAAAAACCAAUCGUUACUUAAGAAAACUUAGUUACUUAAGAAAACAAUGGCUAACCCAGCUUGCUCCUCACCCUUUUCCUCUCUCCCUUCCCCCUAUUCUUCUUCGGUGUCAGCAGUUAUCUUGCUUGUGUCAAAACACACUUUCCUUUUUUUGAAGACCUCCUUUUACUUCAGUGAUGUUAUGGUACAGUGCCUGCAGAGCUGUACAUUAAAAAUAAUUGCCUACCAGUGAAAUAAAAGAAUUAUCCUGAGACAGGCUUGGUGUGGGGAAGACCCCAUUUCUGACAUGAGACAAUAUCAGGAUACUACACUGUGAAGGAAAGCUGCACGAGCUGUAGAAGUGAUAGCUUAAAUGACAGAGUAUACAUUCUCCCACGAUUCUAGAGGCCAAAAUCUUAACAUGUCAAAGUGUCAAUAGGGUCAGUCUCUUUGCAGACUUCCCCCUUGGCUGAUAGAUGGCCUGCUAUACCGAUAUAAACUUGGUCCUCCUCUGCAUGCCUGUGUAUGCCUCUCUCCUUACUGCACUGGCAUCUACUUUAAUGACUUACUUUUGCUUAGAGACAUGAAUCUAAACAUAGUCAGUCCUAUCAUGACUUCGGGUUAGGGUUUCAGUUAUAAAUUCAGAGAAGAGAGGACAGAAUCCAGCUACCAUUAAUUACCAUUAAUUAAUUACAGAAUUAUUUGGAUGUCAGUUCCUCAUCGAUGUCCAGUUUGAGCAGUGCUAAACUAGACACCAUCAGAGCCCGAAAUGCAGAUUCAGGGGUUAAUUUGGGAGCUUCACUGGGGUUGGCUGUUGCAAGCUCCUCUUGUUACAGAUUGUUCAUUACAAACAUUAAAACAAGCUGCCACAUCUCUGGCCAUACAGUCCUCAUCUCGUCUAAACAAGCUGCAGAACUGAUUACCUGGAUUGACUGCCAAUCAGGAGAAAUCUGCUAGGGGCAGAUGUGCUGAGGAAGCCACUUAAGCACCAAGGGGACAGUGGAGGAGUCAUAAGUCGGCAACCCUGCGUCGUGGGUCACGAUGUUAUGGGAUGAGACCCCAUAGUCACAACACCCCUCUAUAGCUGCUUUUAGAAAUCUGAGAGUAGAAGGCUGUGGAGAUGUUCCCACUUAAUAUGUAGGUAAAUUUGUUUUGGCAUUUGAAGGAGAGACACUAAUGAGUAAUUCAUCUCUGUCACGUUAAAACUCCCCAGUUCCUCUGGAUAAAUGCUAACUGGUUUUACUUGGAAACCACGAGGACUUUUCUAUUGUUCUGAAUGGAAGGAGGGGCUUUCUUACCAUCUUACUCCCUGGGUUUAGAUAAAGUUUCCAGAGGAGGUUGACAUACAGGCACUGGGAUUCUCUAACUAUCCCUACUUGUUCAUCAAGACAUUUAAUUUAAUUUAAGCCAUGCCCCUGUCAGUGAGUUACUAUUUCAGCUGCUUUUAUAUUUUGUAUGCACAUAUGUUAAAAAUAGUGAUAUAGUGGAAAAGUCUAAAACAUACGACAAUGUUCAUAACCCUAUUUUUGUAUUUCUUUAUGUUUGGGGGAUAACUGCAUGAUGAAACAUGCCAUCAGCAGACUAUGUGACUCUAACCGUGGGAAAACUAUUAAGGUCCAAGACCACCAUGACUAGAUGAUGGCCCUUAAGCUAGGCACAAAAUGGGAGACUCCGUUGUUAGGAGGUUUUCUCUUCCUUUAACCUUGUCUGGGGGAUUCUAGUCCCCGCACUUACCCUUACCUGAGAAAAGUCAUGUAGCAUAAAAAUCUGGAGCUCUUUAUGUUAAUGAGGUAUCUAGAUAGGCUUCAGUGUUCAGCCAAUGAGCGUCCCUUCCCAGGCAUUCCUUUCUGCAAAAGGUACUGAAUCCCUAGGUCUCCCCACUCCUCCCCUCCCCAAGGUAAGGUGUAUGCAUUCCCAUUUGCCAUCAAAUAAAACAGUUUGGACAAGCAAUCAGGGGGGGCCUUUGUCAUAAAGAGCUGUCACAAAGGCUUCCCAGAGAAGGCCUUCUCUCUCCCAGCCCUACUCUGGGCACUCAAACCAAACCUGGCUCACCCCCCUUCCAGGCUCAGCCUUCACCUUUCUGCCUAGCUCAUGGACUCCCUGAGGGGAAACAUGAACCAGGAAACCUGUUCCCAGCUCCCAGUGGUGCCUGGGUACACAAGAGACUGGGAACACAGGAGUCCUCCCAGAUUGAGGACCCCCAUACAACUUUGCUCUGCCUCCUCUGAGCGGUUUGCUGGUGCUCCGGCCCACCCCUAGCUUCAAUAUAGUUAUUUGGGAAGUUGUUUUUUCAUCUUAAGAGAUUGUGAUCUUAAUUCCCCAAUGGCUACCUUCCUCCGUAAAUGGCAGCCGUGGGGUCAAAUCCAAGGUCACUCCACCAUGGCUGUCAAAACAAGAAACAGUCUAACUCUGUCUAUACUGUUUCUGACUUGUUGCUUCAUUUGAGGUUUUUAUUUUAUUUGUUUGUUUGUUUAUUUAUUUAUUUACUGGUGUUUUUUGCAGCGGCCUUCCAAGGUAACCCUGAGAAUAUUCCUAUACUCAAAGAAGGAAUACCUAGAAUGCGUUGCUACAGAAUGUGUGAUCCACUCUUGGCUGUGAUGAUACAUGUUUCUGGGGUGCUGGCAAAGGGACAGCUUCCCAAAUAACUAUAUUGAAGCUAGAGGUGGGCCGGAGCACCAGCAAACCACUCUGUGGAGGCAGAGCACAGUUGUAUGGGGGUCCUCAAUCUGUGUUUUCUCAGGUGGGAACAGCGGGAUCUGGGAGGACUCCUGUGGCUCCCUGUUCGCCAGUUAUAGACUAAAUUUAGACACUGAGCCUGGUGAUCAUAAAUGCCUCUUGCUACCUGAACAGACAUCUCCAGCUCACUGCUCAGGGCCAGUAAGCAAAGCUAUUCUGUGAGAAAGGCAGAUGUUAGUUGAACGUUGUCUCCACUUGUUUAAGACAAGCCUAUGGAAUAUAUUUACAAAAAUGCUUUCCCUUCCAGUUUGCCUCCUGUCAGCUCAUAACUACAGAAGAUGUUCACAAACCCUGAAAUGGCAUCAAAGUCGUGAGUCAUGAGUCAAAACAGGAUCUAGUCAAAGUUUCUUAAAGACCUACUAAUACAAAAGCAGUUCAAAGUUCUCAGAAUUGGUGAUGUAUACAGGCUGACAUUGAGGUCAUAAUGAUUAACCUCAUUCUUUUUCAAGCCUUUGUCUACUACUAUUACUACUACUACUACUCACACACACACACACACACACACACGCGCGCGCGCGCGCGCACACACACAAGAUGCAAUAAAAACCCAUCUUUCCUCCACCCCACUUUACCUCUUAUGAAAUUAUAUAUUGAAGUCUUAAUUCCAGUAUACCACUCCAAACACCAGAAUGAAUAGGUCUAAGCCUUUAAGAACAAAGCCCAAGGGUUUGUUUUACUCCAUUUCAUGUGCUGCUUAUUUACAACAGAUGGUCAAAAACACUCGUCAUACUAAAUCUUGCUUGUGUGGCCGUUGAGAAAUUCCUUUUGGCCGUCACAGGUAAACAUAUUAAUUGUUGCACAAGCAAACUGGAAUGAUUUCAGUAGAAAUGAAGCAGAGGGGAAGUGAUUUUUCUGCCUUAGGAGAUAAGGGUUGGAUGGUGGUGGUGUCUUGCUUGCUCUUCCUUGCACUACAAUGAGAUCCUUCAAUAUGACUAUCUCCUACCACUACGUCUACUCAAAGUCUUAGCCAAUUACAACCCAAGUCUAGGAGCGUCUAUUUCUAGGAGUUGAAAGGGGAGUGGUGUAGGGUGGGGUGGGGGGAUAGCAUGACAAAUGACAACAUCACUUGAGUCUUUGAAGCAAAAGCAAAAGCUUGUGCUUAUCUAGAAAGAAUCUCAAUGCUAAGGAGCUUUAGUUCAGCUCGGCCUUUGAAAAAGGGAAGAUUCUCCUUGUACUGGCUGGUUUUGUGUCAACUUGA
rnacentral:sRNA from 1 species